ACGGGAUUUUGAGUCGCAAGAUUUGAUAUCCAGUGGCGGACGGGUGAGGAUAAGUAAGGAACGUACCCUGAAGUAUCGCAUAGCUCGUCGAAAGACGGGGUAAUACGGUAUGUGAACGAAAGUUUAAAGAGGUUAACCCCUCGCUUUAGGAGCGGCCUUAUACCUAUCAGCUAGUUGGUGGGGUAACGGCCUACCAAGGCUACGACGGGUAGGGGGUGUGAGAGCAUGACCCCCCACAAUGGCACUGAGACACGGGCCAUACAUCUACGGAUGGCAGCAACUGGGAAUAUUCGGCAAUGGACGAAAGUCUGACCGAGCGACGCCGCGUGAGGGAUGAAGGUUUUCGGAUCGUAAACCUCUUUUGCCAUGAUCGACAGGUUAUGGCGAAUAAGCACCUACAAACUACGUGCCAGCAGUCGCGGUAAUACGUAGGGUGCAAGCGUUAUCCGGAUUUACUGGGUGUAAAGUGUCGUGUAGGCGGUAUACCGCAUCGUAUCUGAAAGCCCGAGGCUUAACCUCGGCGUUGGAUACGAGAUGGGUAAACUAUGAGGGAGGCAGAGGAAAGGGGAACUCGUGGUGAAGCAGUGAAAUGCGUUGAUAUCACGAGGAACACCGAAGGCGAAGGCACCUUUCUGGGCCUCUCCUGACGCUGAGACACGAAAGCUAGGGGAGCGAAGCAGAUUAGAGACCUGCGUAGUCCUAGCCCUAAACGCAUGUCUGCUAGAUGCCCCGUCGCAAGAUGGGGUGUCGUAAGCUAACGCGUUAAGC
rnacentral:rRNA from 1 species